rnacentral:lncRNA from 1 species
CGCCAUCAUUUGUAGGUAUGCGGAUUUGCCGUGAGAGACUCGAUGUCCGUAGGCGACGGAAACCAUACGCUUUAAUUGUUGAGUAAGCCCAGGGGCCUGCAAGGGCCAUGCACUUUGACUGUUGAGUGAACCGGGUGUCUGCACGACCCUUACACAUUAAUUGUCUGCACGGCCGUGCUGCGGGUGGACGUAACCUUAGUGUGCAACUUAGGCGUCCUCAGGUUGGU